rnacentral:rRNA from 1 species
GUGAGGAAUAUUGGUCAAUGGGCGAGAGCCUGAACCAGCCAAGUAGCGUGCAGGAUGACGGCCCUACGGGUUGUAAACUGCUUUUAUGCGGGGAUAAAGUCAGGGACGUGUCCCUGUUUGCAGGUACCGCAUGAAUAAGGACCGGCUAAUUCCGUGCCAGCAGCCGCGGUAAUACGGAAGGUCCGGGCGUUAUCCGGAUUUAUUGGGUUUAAAGGGAGCGUAGGCCGCCCCUUAAGCGUGUUGUGAAAUUCUGCGGCUCAACCGUAGACGUGCAGCGCGAACUGGGGGGCUUGAGUGCACGCGACGCAGGCGGAAUUCGUGGUGUAGCGGUGAAAUGCUUAGAUAUCACGAAGAACCCCGAUUGCGAAGGCAGCUUGCGGGAGUGUUACUGACGCUGAAGCUCGAAGGUGCGGGUAUCGAACAGGAUUAGAAACCCGAGUAGUCC